GGGUCCGGCAAAGUGUGCCUCGGGCCUCAUUUUCUCUCUUUCUUUUGUUUUUACGGUGUGAUUGGAUAGAGUUCUACCAUUUUUGGCGUGUUGCGGUGUUCUCCUAGCUUCAUAGUUGUCAUUGGCUAUUGGGAGCGGAUUUGCUUUUGCAGCCAUGUUGUGUUCUGUUCUAAGCUUUGGAGAUUAACGUCUGUUGUAGCUGCUUUCCGUUUUACUUUAGCGUUGGUGCUCUCUAACUGGAUGCUGCGACAGUGUCGCAAGUUCUACUUAGUGGCACUUCUCUUUUCUUUUUUUUUUCUUUUUUUUUUCCCCUCAUUUCUGGUUGUAUUGCAGAGCUCUACAAUUUUUGGAAGUUGCGGCUAGAGUCCCAACAGCGAUGACGGAUGAUUCCACGUUGUGGUGCUAGAAGAUCAAGGCUCUUGUGCUACUUCUUUGAGCCAUUUUGAGGGGAGUGUUGUUGGUAUUGGUGUGUGAUUCUACUUGAGCUUCUAUAUGUUUCCACAUACUCGUACUUCAAGCUCAAGGGUGUAUCUACAAGUGACGAUUAGUUGGUUGGAGUAAGUGAUCAACAUUGACAACUUGGAGGUGUCAUUGAAUUCAAAUCAAGGUUGAUGAACUGUGGAUAUUUCUCCUUUUAGUUUUGUAGUAGUAUAUGGUCAGUAACGACAAGGUGUUGCAGAGGAGCUCUCGUUCCUUGGUACUGUGAUUGCAGCAUGGUAUGGAUUGUGCGGUGCUGAGCCAAGGUUAUAAUUCCUCAUCGAAUCCAAUUGAGUUGGUUCUUUUAGUGGAUGAACAAACAACUCCCACAACUCGUCGUUCUUCUAAUCUGAUCAAUCGUCAACAUUGAGCUGUUGGAAUCAAUUUGUAGAGUUUCCCUUCUACGGCAAAUGUUGUUGAAGAGGCUUCGUGCGAUUUAGAGUUCUGGCAGAAUUAGACAAAGGCUAGAGCAUAGUCAUCACAGGGAGUGAACGUGUCAACUAGUAGUAUACAUUUGUGUAUUGUAGAUCUUUUUGAGCCAAUAGAGUCGAAAGUUGAGAGUAUAAAUGUAGUUGCACAUUGUAUCAUCUUAGGGUGGAUUUUGUAAGCAGAAGCCGAUUUUUAAUUGCAAGUUGGAAAACAAAAAUAAAGGAGACAACAGCAACAGGAAUCGGUCCACUCUCUGCCCAGUUGCGAUUUUUUGUGGGCUCGAAUCUAGUGGCCGCGAUGGAAUUCACAAGCUGAGUUACAAGGUGAUUUUUCUACACAAAGAAAUACCGUGUUGGAGAUCCAACAUCAACGAACCGCCCAUUUGAAGGUCCUAGUGCUUCGUGGAGCAGACCACGGAGCUGCAGCAGGGAGCCAAUUCGGUGGAAGUCGGAGGAGGAGUAUCGUUCUCACCUCUAGUUCAUCAUCUUCGAUUGAUCUUUGAGACAAGCGGUAGGAGGCAGAGGUUAUUAAAGCCCAUUGUGACUUUUUUGGAAUUUGGAAACUGUUGAGUUCAAUUUCAACAACUCGUUCUUGUUAUUCAAUUUGACUUGACAUUUUUUGCA